rnacentral:rRNA from 1 species
UACGAAGGGGGCUAGCGUUGCUCGGAAUCACUGGGCGUAAAGCGCACGUAGGCGGCUUCUUAAGUCAGGGGUGAAAUCCUGGAGCUCAACUCCAGAACUGCCUUUGAUACUGAGGAGCUCGAGUCCGGGAGAGGUGAGUGGAACUCCGAGUGUAGAGGUGAAAUUCGUAGAUAUUCGGAAGAACACCAGUGGCGAAGGCGGCUCACUGGCCCGGUACUGACGCUGAGGUGCGAAAGUGUGGGGAUCAAACAGG